rnacentral:rRNA from 1 species
UAAGACGAACCGUGCGAACGUUGUUCGGAAUCACUGGGCUUAAAGGGCGCGUAGGCGGCUCCUCAAGUCCGGGGUGAAAGCCCCCAGCUCAACUGGGGAAGGGCCUCGGAUACUGGGGAGCUCGGGGGAGGUAGGGGCGGGCGGAACUUCCGGUGGAGCGGUGAAAUGCGUUGAUAUCGGAAGGAACGCCGGUGGCGAAAGCGGCCCGCUGGACCUCUGCCGACGCUGAGGCGCGAAAGCCAGGGGAGCGAACGGGAUUAGAUACCCCGGUAGUCCUGGCCCUAAACGAUGGGGACUAGGUAGUGGGCCGGUCUGGGCUCACUGCCGAAGCAAAAGUCUUAAGUCCCCCGCCUGGGGAGUAUGGUCGCAAGGCUG